CAGUCGCCACGGUAAUACGGAGGUCCCGAGCGUUGAUCGGAAUCACUGGGCGUAAAGGGAGCGUAGGCGGCGUGGUAAGUCAGAUGUGAAAUCCCGGGGCUCAACCCCGGAACUGCAUCCGAUACUGCCGUGCUAGAGGAUUGGAGAGGUAGCUGGAAUUCUUGGUGUAGCAGUGAAAUGCGUGGAGAUCAAGAGGAACACUCGUGGCGAAAGCGAGCUACUGGACAAUAUCUGACGCUGAGGCUCGAAGGCCAGGGUAGCGAAAGGGAUUAGAUACCCCGGUAGUCCCUGUCUCUUAUAC
rnacentral:rRNA from 1 species